CCAGACAAGACGGCUAGACACAUUAUGAGUAUCUUAAACAAAGAGCCAGUCGACAAAGUCCGCAUAGAGAGGGAGAUUCCUAAUUAUAGCCUGGAUGUAUUAUUCAACGAGAGUUGUAAGUACCAAUUCCUAAGAACAAGCGGCAGCAGUCUACACUGGAAGGCAUCGUCAUAGAAAGGCACAAUGCUGGGAUCGCUACAACUUGAACGAGGACAUAUGCAGGAGUCUACACUGGAACGAGGCACCAUUGCUAUGAGCUUUUGAGUACAGAUACAAAGUGUAUUACAUAGUGCGAGACCCGCAAAAAAAAAAUAGUGCGAGGACAUAUGCUAUUUCUAUAAGCUGAACACCUGCAUCCAAAGCUGUUUGAAGGAAGGAGGCAAAGACGUCUCUUAUUUUCCAUGGCACCUACUGGACAGAAAUGGAGUGUGCUGUUGUAGAUGUAACAAGUGAUGGGUUACCUGUGAAGGUUACUUGCUGUAGCUGUAGCAUUCGCACCACCUUUGGUGUUAGAAGGAGAGUUGUUGCUUCAGCCUAAAGUGGUGUGCGAACCUGUUAUGCUGAAGCUGGUAUCGUCACAUAUUCAUGUUGGAUUUGGUCCGGGCGAUUUUAAUGUGAAGAAUAGAACAAUGCCAGUUGCUUGUAAGCCAUGUCUGCUGGUGGUUUCCUAAUUAAAUUUCCACAAGGAGUCGCAGAAAUUUUUGUUUCCUGCAAUAUGAAGAUUAAGUUUGCCUAUUUUUGUGGGGCGUUGAGGUUGUCGCAGCAUGGACGCAAAUCAGACAAGCGAGGCCUACUUUGUCUGCACCUUCGAAUGGACGUGUUGCUGCAGUCACCUUCAUCUGUCGUAAUUGUAACGAUUAAAAAUUAUAAAUAGCUCAGAGUUAAUUAGUGAGAGCGUCCAGGAACUUAUGGAGAAAGUUCAGAGGCUCUGUAGUGAUUUUGGACUAUCAGCUCAGGUCACCAACAGAAUGCAUACACAAGUAAAUAACUUGAUGGUUUUGGCUGAAAGUUUAGGAUGUUAUUAUCCUCGACCUGUUCCAAAUCAGGUCCAGGCUCUACAACAAGUCUCAUCAGUGGUGCUCCCUCGUUACUGCGAAGAGUCUGAUAAGUGAAAGCCUACAGGGAAAUAUUUCUUCUCAAGUAGCAGAGGCAGAAAAAUGCACACUCAGAAACUUACAAAAACGAAGGUGAUGGCUGUUGCAGUUUCAUUUGGUUGCUCAGAAGGACCGGGUAACAGGUGAUGAAGCUGUUAUCUCCUUGUGUUCGCAUUUAAUCCAGAUCAUAACUCUGUUUCUGCAGAUCUUACAUUUGGUAGUCCACAACCAUUCAACACUCACAUGUCCUUGCGAUAUUCUACCUCAUCGACAGAUAGUUAAAUUAUCUCUGCUUUGGCUCCAUCAGGUACAUGGACUGAUGAUGAUCUCAUGCAUGACAUACAAGACUAAUUUCCAAUCCAUGCAGAUUGAAGAAGAGCAGUAUCACGCCAUGCAUUUCUGGAGGCUUGUUUUACAGUACCUUUUACCUCUCCUAAAAAUGGAGAGGUAUGAUUUCUUCAAUGGUUAGGAUUAAGCGGCCCGGAAGCCCAGCAAGAUGUAAAAAAAAGUGGGGAAAAGUUAAAUUUAGUACGUA